UACGUAGGGCGCAAGCGUUAUCCGGAAUUAUUGGCGUAAAGAGCUCGUAGGCGGUUUGUCGCGUCUGCCGUGAAAGUCCGGGGCUCAACUCCGGAUCUGCGGUGGGUACGGGCAGACUAGAGUGAUGUAGGGGAGACUGGAAUUCCUGGUGUAGCGGUGAAAUGCGCAGAUAUCAGGAGGAACACCGAUGGCGAAGGCAGGUCUCUGGGCCUGUACUGACGCUGAGGAGCGAAAGCGUGGGGAGCGAACAGG
rnacentral:rRNA from 1 species